UACGUAGGUGGCAAGCGUUGUCCGGAUUUACUGGGCGUAAAGAGCGCGCAGGCGGCUGGUCAAGUCCGAUGUGAAAUCUCCCGGCUUAACUGGGAAACUGCAUCGGAAACUGAUCGGCUUGAAGGUGGGAGAGGGUAGUGGAAUUGCCGGUGUAGUGGUGAAAUGCGUAGAGAGUCGGCAGGAACACCCAGGGGGAAACCAGCCGACUGGGCAUGUGCUGACGCUGAGGUGCGAGAGCGUGGGGAGCGAACCGG
rnacentral:rRNA from 1 species